rnacentral:tRNA from 1 species
UCCCUAGUGGCUCAGGUGGUAAAGCAUCUACCUCCAAUGUGGGUGACCCAGGUUCAAUCCCUGGGUUGGGAA